GAAUACCUCCGUGAGCAUAUAAAUGUGAUCCUCCGCCUUUGGGACUACACUAUUCUCUGUGGAGAAGUCCUCUGCCAGUGAUUACAACUUUCCCAAUUUGACCAUGAAGAUCAGUGGAGGCUUCCUACUGCUGUUUGCCCUGGCCCCUCUCUGCCUAUCCGCUGUAGUUCCUGUUCAGGAUUUAGGGAAGGAGGACUGCAGCAUUUAUAAGAAGUUCCCAGUGUCAGCUAUUCCCUGCCCUGUUACAUAUUUUCCCGUGUGUGGUUCUGACUACAUGACUUAUGGAAAUGGAUGUCAUCUAUGCAUAGAGACCUUGAAAACAAAUGGAAAAGUGACUUAUCUUCAUGAUGGAAAUUGCUAACUCCUCCCUGAACCAGACUAUAGAAAAAUCGUACCCCUAUCAUCUUUGUCACCAUCUGAACCACUCUGGUCCCUUGAUGAAUCCUUUAUGUAUGUGGGUAGGCUAAAAAUGUUCCAAUCUAAUUUCCAUUGUCAGGGGACACAUGUGGUAUCCCUAUGGCCUUCCCGUGUCUGUAAAAUACAAAAUACAAAACAGUCUUCCUUCUCAAUAAAAACAAUAUUGCUAUUAGUUGGGAUUCCAUUGUGAAAUCAGGUUCUCAGAAUUAACAUAAACAUGCUCAGUCUGCCACCACAAAAAGUUAAUGUUGCUCAGUAAACUUUAAAUUAGAAAAAUGAAUUUGAGUUCUGAACCUUCUAGUUACUGAUAGGAUGAGCCUUUUGUCCUUGCCUAUCUGAGCCUUGGUUUCUGUAUGUAUAGAAUGGGAAUAAUGAUAUUUAUACUACCUAUCUGCUUGGAGUAUUAGGAAGAAAUCCUCUUGUAAGUCAAAGUGCUUUAUAGAAAAGUGAGCUGUCACUAUGUAAGCAGGAGAAAUUAGGACAGAAUCACAGUUGAAAGUAGACACAAAACAUAUUGUUAUCAUAAUUUAGAAAUAAGGGCUCAAGUUAAUUAAAGCUCUGAGCAAAGACUUAACAACAAACUUUAAAGUGGCAGAAGAUUGUAAAAUGUUGCUUAUUUCUGUUUGGUUUUUAUGGCUUUUAUCACAUGCUUGUUAUCAUAGCCAUUUCUAUACAUAUCUAAUCAGGACUUCACAACUUAUUAGAAAUUAUCUAUGGGCUUGGGACUAUAUCAAUGGUAAAUUCAUUUUGAAAGGUGCUACCAAGUUGAAAGGUUUCAAGCAUUGAUCCAGUUAUAGAGUUCCUAUCUAUCAUCUGAGGGCUAGAUUUUUCAAGUCUGAAGAGUGUCAUCAAUGGAAGACUAAAUUCCCGGAGAUGUACAACAGUUCAUACAGAACCAUUAAAUAAGUCACUGAAGGUUUCCAACUAGAUUCAUUGAGGAAACAUCCAUAUUGAUGAAAUCAUGCAUCUUUGAAGUAUUGAAAAAAGGCUUCUGGGACCCUCCACAGCAAGCCAGACAAAACUUUGUCCAUAAUUCUUUACUAUUUCACUGCCUCCAGUAUCUCAUUGGUGUUAGAACUCUCUCUGGAGGUGCAAAUCACAAUUCAUUCAUAUUAUAAUUAGCAUUAUUAUCAUCAUCAUCACCAUCAAAACUAAGCUAGCAUUUUUAAGGUUUGCAAAGAACUUUUCAUUUGAUCUUUACAACAAUUCUGAGAUUUAGGUGCUAUUUUUAUCAUCUCUAUGUACAGAGAGAAAACUGAGCCUGAGAGGUCAAAUGACUUGCAAGUCAAAUUACAUAGUAGCUAAGAACAGGAAUCUAACUCAGCUCUUACAUUCUUAUUUGUAUAUUUUAUUAUUUGUGUAAACAAAACAAAACAAAACAAAACAUUAAGGUAUCUGCUUAUCUGCCUUCCUGCUUGGUAUCUUUGCUUUACUGAAUUUUAUAAAUUAUUUGAAAUCCAAAGAGUAGUCAAUGUUCUUUAUAGGAACACUGCUAUUAUUCCUUAUAAUAAUUUAGGAUGAAUCUAUCUGUCCUAAACCAUAUCUAUUAUAAAAAGUAGGACUAUCUACUUGGGGCUUGAUUUAAUCCACUCCAAUAUGACAGUGAAAUGGAGUACUGAUCUUUUAUUAUCUACUAUAAUGCUUUGCUAUAAAUAUAUACCAAUAUGAUGUCAACAUUACAAAAAAUCUGUGAUUUGAUCAAUAUAGAUUACAUGUAUCUGGGAUCCAUAUCACAAACUUUAAUUACCUCCAGAAAUAUUUUUAGGAUUUGCUGUGCCAAAAAAAAAGUUCAUUACCUAUGAUGCUAAGGAAGGAUUACUAAUACUAUUAUUUGUUAUGGUGAGAGAGUAAAAAAAAAGCCCAGAAGCAUUAGGGAUGAAAUUAGGAAUAUAUCACACACAUACACACACACACACAAUGAAAAAUAGCUGCAAUUUCUAUUUUCUCCAAUGAAAACAGAGCUACCUUGGCUGAACUCAAAAAUUAUAAUCAACAAUUUCAUACAUAAGUAUUUUAUUUUAUACAUGUAUCAUAAAAGUGUUCAAAUGAAUCAGUUAGAUCAUCCAUUGUUGUCUUUAGGGAUAAAACCAACUAAGAAUGCUAUUAUAUGAAACAGCUACUUACACAGUGGUUUUCAGAUACAAAAGUGUCUUUCUAUGCACCAAAUGCCAAAUUUGUGCUACAUUUCUCAAGGUUAAAGAAACUUCCAAGAGAUUUCUAAGCAGUUACCUUAGACUACAUUAUAAAGUAAGGAAAUAAGACAAAGAGAAAUUUUCUGCAAUAAAAGCAUGAAAUUCAAUAACAUAUAUCAACAACAUCUUGCCAGGAUGAGAUGAAGAUAUGACAAAUAUAAUAAAGCUGAACCCAUCUAUAGGGGCCUUUCCAAGGAAAAUAUACCCAAUACUCUUUGUAAAACUUUUGGGGACAACAAGCAGAUGGCACUCAAGCAAAGAGUGGGGCCUUUCCAAGAUAAUCAACUAUGUGGCCGUUGUUUUCAUCCCCAAUUCUUCAGCUUGGAUGACAAGAAGUAUGACUUGUGCUUUGACUUUCCUAUGCCCAAGGAGUGAGCACUCUUGUAUUUUCUUUCUAUGGACCUCACAAAGAGUAGACUCAACUGGGCAGCUUUAUCCAGAUACCCUUUAACAAUUUUUUUCCCUUUCUUUUCUGAUCUUAGGCAAUAUCAAGGGAUACAUACCAAAGACUUUUAGAGUUCCAAAGGUCAUCUAGAGCAACUAUUCUUCCUAUAUUGGUUUCCUGUUGUAGAAGUAGAAUAUUAUGAUCACAUACUGAUAGGCAAUUGAAAAUGUAAGAGAUAAGCAUUAAUGCUUACCUGAAUUGAUUAGACUUCUGGCAUAGAUUACCAAUUGUCUGUUAUUACUAAUUUACCACUACUUCAUAAGGAAUGGGUCUGAUAUCAACUCUUCCCCCCUCCCCCCCCCCCAGCCAUCUGUCUCUAUCAUCCCCUGCCAAACAUGCAAGUAACAUCAGACCUGAAGCCAGGAAGGCCUGAGUUCAAAUUCAACCUCAGAUUACCUGUGUAACACUGCAUGUCACUUAAACUGUUUGCCUCAGUUUCCUCAACUGUAAAAUUAGCAUAAUAAUAGCAUAUACUUGACAGAAUGAUGAAAAUACAAGAAAGAAAAAAAAAAGAAUUUUUAAGAAAAUAUUUACACAGUGCCUGGCAUUUGAUGGGGCUAUAUAAAAGUUUACUCCCUACCUACCUAACUUCUUCAAGAAGCCUUUCCUAGUCUUCCUUUAAUUUAGUACCUUCUCUAAUUUAGACUAACCCCCAAUUUAGUCUGUAUACAUCGUGUUUGUGAAUAAUUAACAGGAUGUUGUCUUCCCACAUUUGGACUAGAAACUACUUGAAAAGAGGAUGGUUUUCUCUCUUUUUUUUUAAAUCCCCUAGCAGUCAAAGCAGGUGUUUAAUAAAUGCUUGUUUACUUGAUUUAAUUAUGUGACAACUGGAUCUAGAAUUGAAUAGGAGGUAAUCCUUAUCAGUCAAGUGAAUGCUAAGAUAUUAUCAUAUGGAAGGGAAACAGGCUCUUUUUUGGAGAGCCUCCUGUAUCCAAGAGGAAGGUAGAGGAAGAAACUAGGAUGGGAUUUAUUUGCUUGUUUUUUCUCAUUUUUUCCUCUUGAUUUAAUUUUUCUUGAUCAGCAGACAAAUAUGGAAAUAUGUUUAGAAGAAUUGCACAUGUUAAAUGUAUAUUGAAUUGCCUGCUGCCUUGGGGAGGAGAGAGAGCGAGAGGGAGAAAAUUUUGGAACACAAGGUUUUGCAAAGGAAAAUAUUGAAAAUUAUCAUUGCAUGUAUUUGGAAAAAUAAAAU
rnacentral:lncRNA from 1 species